rnacentral:lncRNA from 1 species
GUGCAAACUGGAGCAAGCGUCCUAGAAGCCCAUGUGGUUGUCACACUUGACUGUUAUGGAAGUCAGUGAUGACUAUAGGAAUGUGGUGUGAGAUCGAUUUUCCUGAGCACACGAGUAUUUCCAGAAAGAAAAAGACUUUUUAAAAAGUCCAGCUGGAUGUUAAAGCUCAAAUCUUUUAACUCUCAGCUCAAGUCACAAGUUUUAAGCUGGCACUGGAGAUAAAGUCUUGGUCACAACAGGAAACAUCUGUGCCCUCGUGGAGCUUAGAUUCUAGAUGGUGAGGAGAGACAAAGAAGAAAAUAAAUAAAAUGAAUUAUAUGUUUUAUUAUACAGAAAAAUAAAGCAACAAAAGAAAAAACGAAGUGUAUCUAUGGUGAGUGUGCAGUUUUAAAAAGGGAAGACAAAGAAAGUCUCACUGGGAUGAUGACAUUUGGGCAAAAACUGAAGGAGGUGAAGAGGUGGCCUUGAGGAAGCUGGAGAAGCAUUCCAGAACCAGGGGGAGGCCGGGAUGGCCGGGGCGCAGUAGCAAGGGGAGAGGUGGCAGAGUCGGGGUAGCAGGUAGCCAGACCACAGGGCCUGGGGCCACGCUGAGGACUCUGGCUGUACACCAAGAGAAACUGGGAGCGGCUGGGAGGUUCUGAGCAGAGGCACGACAGGUGCUGGCUUAUAUUUUAAAGGAUCACCCUGGUCUCAUGGUGGGGACAGAAUGAAACAGGAUGAAGGAGAGGAGGGGAACCAGUUAGGAGCUCUUGCACUCAGCCAGGGAGAGUGGAUGGUUGACUUCGACCAGGGUGGGAGCCAGAAAAGGUUGGAUUCUGCACGUACUUUGAAGGCAGAGCUGAGAGGCUCUUUUAACAUCUUGGAUAUAGAAUAUGAGAGAAAGAGAGGAGUCAUGGACCAUCCCAAGGUUUCGGCUCAAGCAACAGGAGGAGUGGAUGCCGUCGUUACUCAGUUCGCUGAGAUGGUGCGGAGGGUGGGAGGAGGAGGUGCGAGGGGAAGACCAGGAGCUCAGUUCUGAGCGUGUUUAAGUCAGAGGUGUCUGUGUGUCAUUCAAGUAGAAAUACCAAGCAGGCAGUUCAAUAUUCAGUUCCACCCUGUUCAAGUUCAAGGAGGAUGUUUAUGCUGGAGG